rnacentral:rRNA from 1 species
GAUGAACGCUGGCGGCGUGCUUAACACAUGCAAGUCGAACGGAAAGGCCCAAGCUUGCUUGGGUACUCGAGUGGCGAACGGGUGAGUAACACGUGGGUGAUCUGCCCUGCACUUCGGGAUAAGCCUGGGAAACUGGGUCUAAUACCGGAUAGGACGAUGGUUUGGAUGCCAUUGUGGAAAGUUUUUUCGGUGUGGGAUGAGCUCGCGGCCUAUCAGCUUGUUGGUGGGGUAAUGGCCUACCAAGGCGUCGACGGGUAGCCGGCCUGAGAGGGUGUACGGCCACAUUGGGACUGAGAUACGGCCCAGACUCCUACGGGAGGCAGCAGUGGGGAAUAUUGCACAAUGGGCGCAAGCCUGAUGCAGCGACGCCGCGUGGGGGAUGACGGCAUUCGGGUUGUAAACUCCUUUCGCUAGGGACGAAGCGUUUUUGUGACGGUACCUGGAGAAGAAGCACCGGCUAACUACGUG